GGUUGUGCGCAUGUGUGUGUGUAACUCAUGAACAUGACAACGGAUACUUCUUGCUGAUGUAACAAGUCAAUUGUGAUUUCUCAGAAAACAUCAGGCACUACUACCAGCAUCUUUGUCGUCGACUCCCAUGACCUAACCUAGGUGCGGCCAAAGGAUUUCACCACGAACUCCAUCACACAAAAUCAAGAAUAGGUUAAGCCUCGUCAGGGAGCUAGUGUACAGUACAGUACCUCGGAAGGAGACGCUGUUCAAGCUACAAAGAAGAAAAGUGUACAGAAGUUCUCUCCUACUCUGUUGGUAGCCGACAGUUCUUUGCGCCUGUCAAGAUGGAGACUGAAUAUAGUUCUUCAUUUCCCGCUGUUUUUAAAGACAUUUACGACUCUGGUACUGUUUUAAAGCUUCAUUUUUAUCUUUAGGUAUCGAAAACGCAUACAAGUAUCCAUCGCUUUCUUGGCAAAUAAAUCGCACAGUACCUAAUUUUUGCUCAGUAUAAAUUCUUUUCUUUUUACUAACGAUUUCAACCUAUUUAGUAAAGGCCAUCCUAAGGCUUAAGAUUAUAAAUGUUCCAAAAUGAUUCGUAUUUUUUUCUACUAUUUUUUAUUUUUAAAAUUCAAAAAUAACUUUAAUUAAAAAUAAAUUGAAAGAAGUGUGUAAAUGCUAGGAAUACUAAUUCGUUUCUAACAGCGUAGAAAAAUAUAAUAAAGAAUGGGACUUAAAAA